GGAAGUCAGAGCCUGUUGUUCUCAGCAGGACCAUGGCAGGGCAAUGCUGAUUUAAGCAAGGCUGCUCUCAGGUCUCUACCUUUAAUAUGAGAGCAUCCUCACUGCAAGGGUGAAUUAGGCUCCUACCUGCUCUGUACCCGCAGCUAUAAUUUAGUGCCCAAAUGCUGUCAUGUGUUAACCCUGGCCAGCUUGCUCAGCUGGUCUGCAGUACAAAGCAUUGCUUUGCGCGUGACAUGGUGAGAACACUGGAGCUGACAGUGCCCCAGUACUGGGGUGCCUAAAUAAGCCAGACCUGUCCUCCCCCAGGGAAGGCCAUUCCAUCAUGCUACAGUACUAACUGUCUGUGACCUGGCUCCCCAAAGCUCCAGCAGCAUGAGGUGCUCAGUUCUGUGCCCUUCAGCCCUGGCAGCUCCAGGCUGGCUCUACCUGUCCCUGUCUGUGCCAAGCUUUACUCACCUGCAGCACUAAAGGCAUGGCUUGCAGCACGAAGCCAGGCACAUAGUCAGUGAUGGUGCCUUGUGCCCCAGGGGAGCCUUCCUGGUAGCUGCUGCCCCGACUGCUUGGAGGAAUGCUGUUCUUCUAUUUCUUUCUGCAUUUCCCAAGAUACCAACCCAUGCCAGGUCCUUCAAAGGCUGCUGAGCGGGGGAAUGUAUCCCCCCAGAAAUGAGAGCUCGGGGGAAGGAGGAAGGGAGGUGAAUGCAGCAGAAAGUGAUACUUCUGAAUGAGGUAAGAGACUCAUGGGCUGGGUUCAGUGAGAUGUUAAACUGCCAUUAAGAAAUACCUUGUUCAGGUGAAGGAGAGGGGCUGUGAAGAUGUAAAGGACCUGAAGUAACUUUAGAGAUGUUAAAUUAAUGACUGUUAGCUUCUGCUUUUGUGCUCAUCUCAGCACUCUGAAGAGCAGUCAAGUGACUAAUUUUCUGCUUACAUUUACUGCCUCUAUAGAAAUGAUGGGGAUGCACUGAGAAGCAGAAACAUCAGAAGGUACCAUCCACAUUUCCCCCAGACAAGGCAGGAGAGGGCAAGGUGCCUUCCUGCAGGGCUCAGAUGCUUCCAGAUGCCAGGCCAUUGAAAGAGUUGAAGUUCUCGUUAUUUGGCAUAGGGAGAGGAGCUGUGUUUUUUAAGGAUUGUCACUAAAGUACAAAAAUAGGACCGUAGAAAAUCCGUGAAAAAUAUGAUGCCAUUUAAAAUACUCUUCUGUCAUACAUUCCUUUCUUGAAAAAUAAAUACAUAUGCUUAUAAGCUUUUCCAACCAGCACCAAGCAUGGUCCUCUAUAGUUCUUCACGUUCCCCGAGUUCGACUUAAAAAUAAAGAUCUUCAGAAGUGGAGGAAAUAAAAUAAAA
ensembl:lncRNA